GCCCACGUGGCGAAAUCGGAAGCCGCACCGGAUUUAGGUUCCGGCGUCGCGAGACACUGCCGGUUCGAGUCCGGCCGUGGGCACCA
rnacentral:tRNA from 2 species